rnacentral:lncRNA from 1 species
UCCAUCUGUUUGAAGUUAGCGUUUGAUAGGAUUAGGUGGCUUACAGGGUUCCAAAAGUCUUUGUGCCGUUUGAAACUUUGAUAGCUUUUGGGGCACCCCGUUCAUGACAGCCAUAGGUCUCUCGACAUAUAUUCUUCCUCUGAUCUGAUGAAAACUAAAGGACCUAUUGGCAGGUGAGCACAAAUGGUACAGAAGGAAUUGUCCUUGCUUUUUCUAUGUUCCUAAGGACUGCUGGCUCCAGGAUAGGGAUGGGAAAAGCCUUGAUCUGUUUGAGCGCAGCUCGGUGACUUGAAGCCCAGAUCUGCUCCUUCAUAGCUCUGGAAUCUUGGGAAGGAAAGGAGCCUGGUGUGGUGAAAUGCUGACACCUAGAUCCUCUGCUACCUGUAUGUACUUGGGCAAGUCAUUUCUAGUCCUCUGGACCUUGUUUCCUUAUUUCUGAAAUAAGGGGAUUGAAUUCUAGGUCCCUUUCAAGUCUAAAGCUAUGAUCUGGUGCCUAGUACACAGUUUCCUAUUGUCUAGUCAUUUCAGUGGUGUCCAGCUCUUUGCGACUCCAUUUGGGGUUUUCUUGGCAAAGAUGUUGGAGUGGUUUGCCAUUUCCUUUUCCAGCUCAUAUUGCAGGUGAGGAGACUGAGGCAAAGGGUUAACUGACUUGCCCAGGGUCACACAGCUAGUAAGUAUCUAAGGCCAUACUUGAAUCAAGGUCUUCCUAAUUCCAGUCCUGGUGCUCUAUCCACCAUGGCAUCCAGCACACAGUAGUAAUAAAGGCUUGUCAGUUGAUUGCUCCUACAUAGGUAAUACAAUCAUUUUCCCUGUCUUACAGCUGAGGAAACUGAGGCCCACAGAGAAGUGAUAUAGCUCAUGAGGGACCUGACCAUUCAUUUUUCCUUACCAAAUUAAACUCACAGAAAAGUUUUAAGGGUUUGAAAAUGAAAUCACUUAACUUUUUUUUUUUAACUCUAUCAGAUCACAAAAAGCUUUCUAUCUGGAUUUGGCUUCAAAAGACCUGGGUUCCAGUCCUGCCUCUUUUCUCAUCGAUUCCUUCAGGUUCUAAAGGAAAAGUAUUGAGGGAAAAUGAAUGAGAAGCAGCCCUGAAGCCCUCGUGAGCCCUGGAGGAAGGAGGAGGCCCCAUCCCCAUUGGAGAAUCCCUGACCAUCCAGCUGUGCCCCAGUUUCCAGUUGUAAGAAUGUUGUGAGCCCUGGGGAAGCAAUGGCUGGUGGCCUGGUCAAAGGGCUGAAACAUCUUUCUCUUUCUAAUUCCAGAUCUGCUACUGAUUUACUUCAUGACCCUGGGGCCUUGGCUGUCUCAUCAGUAAAAUGAGAAUAAUGACUGUAAAUAACAGGGAAGUUUUGUGGCUAAAUUUUUUUUAAUGGCUAUAAAUAAAC